rnacentral:sRNA from 1 species
GCUGGGCGCAGUGGUGCACUCCUGUAAUCCCAGCUGCUCAGGAAGCUGAGGCAGGAGGAUUGCAAGUUCAAAGUCUGCCUCAGCAACUUUGUGAGAGCCUAGCAACUUAGCGAGACCACGUCUCAA